GACGAACGCGGCGGCGUGCUAAUACAUGCAAGUAGGACGCACAGUUUAUACCGUAGCUUGCUACACCAUAGACUGUGAGUUGCGAACGGGUGAGUAACGCGUAGGUAACCUGCCUAUUAGAGGGGGAUAACUAUUGGAAACGAUAGCUAAUACCGCAUAACAGUAUGUAACACAUGUUAGAUGCUUGAAAGAUGCAAUUGCAUCGCUAGUAGAUGGACCUGCGUUGUAUUAGCUAGUAGGUAGGGUAAUGGCCUACCUAGGCGACGAUACAUAGCCGACCUGAGAGGGUGAUCGGCCACACUGGGACUGAGACACGGCCCAGACUCCUACGGGAGGCAGCAGUAGGGAAUCUUCGGCAAUGGGGGGAACCCUGACCGAGCAACGCCGCGUGAGUGAAGAAGGUUUUCGGAUCGUAAAGCUCUGCUGUUAAGGAAGAACGAGUGUGAAAAUGGAAAGUUCAUACUGUGACGGUACUUAACCAGAAGGGGACGGCUAACUACGUGCCAGCAGCCGCGGUAAUACGUAGGUCCCGAGCGUUGUCCGGAUUUAUUGGGCGUAAAGCGAGCGCAGGCGGUUAGAAAAGUCUGAAGUGAAAGGCAGUGGCUCAACCAUUGUAGGCUUUGGAAACUGUUUAACUUGAGUGCAGAAGGGGAGAGUGGAAUUCCAUGUGUAGCGGUGAAAUGCGUAGAUAUAUGGAGGAACACCGGUGGCGAAAGCGGCUCUCUGGUCUGUAACUGACGCUGAGGCUCGAAAGCGUGGGGAGCGAACAGG
rnacentral:rRNA from 1 species